GACGAACGCUGGCGGCGUGCCUAAUACAUGCAAGUAGAACGCUGAAGAGAGGAGCUUGCUCUUCUUGGAUGAGUUGCGAACGGGUGAGUAACGCGUAGGUAACCUGCCUUGUAGCGGGGGAUAACCAUUGGAAACGAUAGCUAAUACCGCAUAACAAUGGAUGACACAUGUCAUUUAUUUGAAAGGGGCAAUUGCUCCACUACAAGAUGGACCUGCGUUGUAUUAGCUAGUAGGUGAGGUAACGGCUCACCUAGGCGACGAUACAUAGCCGACCUGAGAGGGUGAUCGGCCACACUGGGACUGAGACACGGCCCAGACUCCUACGGGAGGCAGCAGUAGGGAAUCUUCGGCAAUGGGGGCAACCCUGACCGAGCAACGCCGCGUGAGUGAAGAAGGUUUUCGGAUCGUAAAGCUCUGUUGUAAGUCAAGAACGAGUGUGAGAGUGGAAAGUUCACACUGUGACGGUAGCUUACCAGAAAGGGACGGCUAACUACGUGCCAGCAGCCGCGGUAAUACGUAGGUCCCGAGCGUUGUCCGGAUUUAUUGGGCGUAAAGCGAGCGCAGGCGGUUUGAUAAGUCUGAAGUUAAAGGCUGUGGCUCAACCAUAGUUCGCUUUGGAAACUGUCAAACUUGAGUGCAGAAGGGGAGAGUGGAAUUCCAUGUGUAGCGGUGAAAUGCGUAGAUAUAUGGAGGAACACCGGUGGCGAAAGCGGCUCUCUGGUCUGUAACUGACGCUGAGGCUCGAAAGCGUGGGGAGCGAACAGGAUUAGAUACCCUGGUAGUCCACGCCGUAAACGAUGAGUGCUAGGUGUUGGAUCCUUUCCGGGAUUCAGUGCCGCAGCUAACGCAUUAAGCACUCCGCCUGGGGAGUACGACCGCAAGGUUGAAACUCAAAGGAAUUGACGGGGGCCCGCACAAGCGGUGGAGCAUGUGGUUUAAUUCGAAGCAACGCGAAGAACCUUACCAGGUCUUGACAUCCCGAUGCUAUUUCUAGAGAUAGAAAGUUACUUCGGUACAUCGGUGACAGGUGGUGCAUGGUUGUCGUCAGCUCGUGUCGUGAGAUGUUGGGUUAAGUCCCGCAACGAGCGCAACCCCUAUUGUUAGUUGCCAUCAUUCAGUUGGGCACUCUAGCGAGACUGCCGGUAAUAAACCGGAGGAAGGUGGGGAUGACGUCAAAUCAUCAUGCCCCUUAUGACCUGGGCUACACACGUGCUACAAUGGUUGGUACAACGAGUUGCGAGUCGGUGACGGCAAGCUAAUCUCUUAAAGCCAAUCUCAGUUCGGAUUGUAGGCUGCAACUCGCCUACAUGAAGUCGGAAUCGCUAGUAAUCGCGGAUCAGCACGCCGCGGUGAAUACGUUCCCGGGCCU
rnacentral:rRNA from 1 species